rnacentral:rRNA from 1 species
UACAGAGGCCUCGAGCGUUAGGCGGAAUCACUGGGCUUAAAGCGUGUGUAGGCGGACUUCUAAGUACCUUGUGAAAUCCCACGGCUCACCCGUGGAACUGCUUGGUAUACUGGUCGUCUUGAGCCUGCUAGGGGCGAGUGGAACAAAUGGUGGAGCGGUGAAAUGCGUAGAUAUCAUUUGGAACGCCAAUGGUGAAAACAACUCGCUGGGGAAGUGCUGACGCUGAGACACGAAAGCCAGGGGAGCGAACGGG